AACGCGAAGAACCUUACCAAGGCUUGACAUAUACGGGAAACGUCUGGAAACAGUCUCCCCGCAAGGUCGGUAUACAGGUGGUGCAUGGUUGUCGUCAGCUCGUGUCGUGAGAUGUUGGGUUAAGUCCCGCAACGAGCGCAACCCUCCUUCUAUGUUGCCAGCACGUAAUGGUGGGAACUCAUAGGAGACUGCCGGGGUCAACUCGGAGGAAGGUGGGGAUGACGUCAAAUCAUCAUGCCCCUUAUGUCUUGGGCUUCACGCAUGCUACAAUGGCCGGUACAAAGGGCUGCAAUACCGUAAGGUGGAGCGAAUCCCAAAAAGCCGGUCUCAGUUCGGAUUGAGGUCUGCAACUCGACCUCAUGAAGUCGGAGUCGCUAGUAAUCGCAGAUCAGCAACGCUGCGGUGAAUACGUUCCCGGGUCUUGUACACACCG
rnacentral:rRNA from 1 species